rnacentral:rRNA from 1 species
GACGAACGCUGGCGGCGUGCCUAACACAUGCAAGUCGAACGGAAAGGCUUUGUUUUUGUGGGGUGCUCGAGAGGCGAAAGGGUGAGUAUCACGUGAGUAACCUGUCCUUGACAUUGGGAUAACUUCAGGAAACUGGGGUUAAUACAGGAUAGGAGAUCCUGCUGCACGGUGGGGGUUGGAAAGUUUCGGGGGUUGGGGAUGGACGUGCGGUUUAUCGUCUUGUUGGUGGGGUGGUGGCUUACCAAUGCUCUGACGAGUAGCCGGCCUGAGUGGGUGACCGGGCACAUUGGGACUGGGAUACGGCCCGGACUCCUACGGCAGGCAGCGGUGGGAGAUAGUGCGCGAUGGGCGGAGGGCUGAAGCAGCAACGCCGCGUGCGGGAUGACUGCCUUCGGGUUGUAACGCACUUGCGCCUGUGACGAAGCGUAAGUGACGGUAAUGUGUAAAGAAGCACCGGCUAACUACGUG